GGUUUUCCUGGAAAGACCGGGGCUCAACUCCGGUUUUGCAGUGGGUACGGGCAGACUAGAGUGAUUUAGGGGAGACUGGAAUUCCUGGUGUAGCGGUGAAAUGCGCAGAUAUCAGGAGGAACCCCGAUGGCGAAGGCAGGUCUUUGGGCAUUAACUGACGCUGAGGAGCGAAAGCAUGGGGAGCGAACAGGAUUAGAUACCCUGGUAGUCCAUGCCGUAAACGUUGGGCACUAGGUGUGGGGGACAUUCCACGUUUUCCGCGCCGUAGCUAACGCAUUAAGUGCCCCGCCUGGGGAGUACGGCCGCAAGGCUAAAACUCAAAGGAAUUGACGGGGGCCCGCACAAGCGGCGGAGCAUGCGGAUUAAUUCGAUGCAACGCGAAGAACCUUACCAAGGCUUGACAUGGACUAGUAAAGCGCAGAGAUGCGUUCCCCUCUUGAGGCUGGUUCACAGGUGGUGCAUGGUUGUCGUCAGCUCGUGUCGUGAGAUGUUGGGUUAAGUCCUGCAACGAGCGCAACCCUCGUUCUAUGUUGCCAGCGCGUUAUGGCGGGGACUCAUAGGAGACUGCCGGGGUCAACUCGGAGGAAGGUGGGGACGACGUCAAAUCAUCAUGCCCCUUAUGUCUUGGGCUUCACGCAUGCUACAAUGGCCGGUACAAAGGGUUGCGAUACUGUGAGGUGGAGCUAAUCCCAAAAAGCCGGUCUCAGUUCGGAUUGGGGUCUGCAACUCGACCCCAUGAAGUCGGAGUCGCUAGUAAUCGCAGAUCAGCAACGCUGCGGUGAAUACGUUCCCGGGCCUUGUACACACCGCCCGUCAAGUCACGAAAGUUGGUAACACCCGAAGCCGGUGGCCUAACCCCUUGUGGGAGGGAGCUGUCGAAGGUGGGACCGGCGAUUGGGACUAAGUCGUAACAAGGUAACC
rnacentral:rRNA from 1 species